rnacentral:rRNA from 1 species
GACGAACGCUGGCGGCGUGCUUAACACAUGCAAGUCGAACGGAAAGGCCCUGCUUUUGUGGGGUGCUCGAGUGGCGAACGGGUGAGUAACACGUGAGUAACCUGCCCUUGACUUUGGGAUAACUUCAGGAAACUGGGGCUAAUACCGGAUAGGAGCUCCUGCUGCAUGGUGGGGGUUGGAAAGUUUCGGCGGUUGGGGAUUGACUCGCGGCUUAUCAGCUUGUUGGUGGGGUAGUGGCUUACCAAGGCUUUGACGGGUAGCCGGCCUGAGAGGGUGACCGGCCACAUUGGGACUGAGAUACGGCCCAGACUCCUACGGGAGGCAGCAGUGGGGAAUAUUGCACAAUGGGCGGAAGCCUGAUGCAGCCACGCCGCGUGCGGGAUGACGGCCUUCGGGUUGUAAACCGCUUUCGCCUGUGACGAAGCGUGAGUGACGGUAAUGGGUAAAGAAGCACCGGCUAACUACGUG